rnacentral:rRNA from 1 species
GGAAAGGCGUGCGAUACAGGGUGACAGCCCCGUACACAAAAAUGCACAUGCUGUGAGCUCGAUGAGUAGGGCGGGACACGUGGUAUCCUGUCUGAAUAUGGGGGGACCAUCCUCCAAGGCUAAAUACUCCUGACUGACCGAUAGUGAACCAGUACCGUGAGGGAAAGGCGAAAAGAACCCCGGCGAGGGGAGUGAAAAAGAACCUGAAACCGUGUACGUACAAGCAGUGGGAGCCUCUUUAUGGGGUGACUGCGUACCUUUUGUAUAAUGGGUCAGCGACUUAUAUUCUGUAGCAAGGUUAACCGAAUAGGGGAGCCGAAGGGAAACCGAGUCUUAACUGGGCGUUAAGUUGCAGGGUAUAGACCCGAAACCCGGUGAUCUAGCCAUGGGCAGGUUGAAGGUUGGGUAACACUAACUGGAGGACCGAACCGACUAAUGUUGAAAAAUUAGCGGAUGACUUGUGGCUGGGGGUGAAAGGCCAAUCAAACCGGGAGAUAGCUGGUUCUCCCCGAAAGCUAUUUAGGUAGCGCCUCGUGAAUUCAUCUCCGGGGGUAG